rnacentral:rRNA from 1 species
AGCCUACGGGUGGCUGCAGUAGGGAAUCUUGCGCAAUGGGCGAAAGCCUGACGCAGCCAUGCCGCGUGAAUGAUGAAGGUCUUAGGAUUGUAAAAUUCUUUCACCGGGGACGAUAAUGACGGUACCCGGAGAAGAAGCUCCGGCUAACUUCGUGCCAGCAGCCGCGGUAAUACGAAGGGGGCUAGCGUUGCUCGGAAUUACUGGGCGUAAAGGGCGCGUAGGCGGACAGUUUAGUCAGAGGUGAAAGCCCAGGGCUCAACCUUGGAAUUGCCUUUGAUACUGGCUGUCUUGAGUACGGGAGAGGUGAGUGGAACUCCGAGUGUAGAGGUGAAAUUCGUAGAUAUUCGGAAGAACACCAGUGGCGAAGGCGACUCACUGGCCCGUUACUGACGCUGAGGCGCGAAAGCGUGGGGAGCAAACAGGAUUAGAUACCCUUGUAGUCCUG